GAGCGAGACUCUGACUCAAAAAAACAAAGAAAAAAAAAAAGAAAAACAAAGGUUUUUAAAGGAAAAAAUGAGGAGGAUUACAUAAUGGUUUUGAAAUAAUUAUCCUUGGCUACAAAUAUCAAUAACAAAGGUCACACCAGUCCGAGGUUGGACAGGCAGUUGCUAGGCAGAUGUCUUUGCAGAAGUAAUUUUUGUGUGAGGUUGCAGCAGCCUAUGUGCAAGGUUGUAAUUUUUGCAGAAUCUUUUGUGAUCAUUUUUGGUAUUAGGCAUACAAGCAUGAGAAUCCCCUCUUCAUGGCCUCCCCAGCUCUAUUUGUCAUGGUUUGUUUUUUUAAAACACUAGUGACUCUAUUUGAAUUCUAACAACUUUCACAUUCCCAACACAAAUGAUAGACAUUUAAGGGAUUAAUAUGCUAAUUACCCUGAUCAUUACACAUUGUAUACAUGUAUCAAAAUAACACACUGUACCCCAUAAAUACAUACAAUUAUGUGUCAAUUAAAGAUCAUUAUUUUUAAAAAUAGGACCAGAAAAAAAGAUGCAGACCCUCUAGUAAGGAGAUGGGAUCAGGAGUGAUUCCAUGGUUAAUUUAACCCACAUAAACAACUAAUCGUAAGUAUGGUAUGAGCGUUUAUGUAAAGACUGUGACAACAGGAAAUGUCUGUCUUUGAACCCAAGGUUAUCUAACCAGCACACCAAUGGUGAAAGAUUAACUUUGUCAGAAACCAGGAACCAUGAAGCAGAGGUCACUGUUUCCAACCUGUGUGUUUUCCACGUGGAUGAAUCGAUGAACAAAAUAUGGCGCAUCCACAGAAUGGAAUACAAAGAAAGAAAGCGUGGACACAUGCUGCAACAUGGAUGAACCUUGAAAAUAUUGUGCCAGGGGAAAGAAACCAGAGACAAAGAGCCACAUGUUGUAGGAUUCCAUGUAUAUGAAAGGUCCUAAUAAGCAAACUCAUAAAGACAAAAAGCAGAUUGGUGGUCACUUAGGGCUAGGGUGAGGAGUGACGGUUAGUGGGCACUGAGUUUCUCCGGGGGGAACUGAAUUAGAUGGUGGUGAUUGCACAAUUCUGUGAAUAGACUAAAAACCACUGGACUGUAAGAGGGUGAAUUUUUUGGUAUAUGAAUUACAUCUCAAUAAAGCUGUUACUUAAAACGUGGAAAAAAUAAUAAGCAGUCACUAGCUAUUCUCAAUAAAACAGAAACCACAUAGGUAAGACCAAUAUUGUCACAUUUUGGUUUUGGCUGAUAAUGGGGCAAGUGAGCAUAGUCACCGUUGCCAGAGGAUUUACCAUUUACAAAUAAAAGUUUCUGUGGAGUGACAACCUUUUACUGUGUGCCAGGUACUGUGCUAAGCACUUUGUAUAUACCGAUUCAUGUAAUCCUUGUGACAGCCCCGUGAUGCCCCAUUUUUAGAUGGGGAGAUUGAGGUUAGGAGAGUUGAAUAACUUGCCCAUAGCUGCACAGCUUCCAAGUUGCAGAGACAGGAUUUUCACCGAGUCUUAUUACAAACUGCCUCAUAUUGUGUGGACUGGAAAUUCUAUGUUGAGGUUAAUUUAUUCAUUUGUUGUUUAGUUCUUUUCAUCAUUGUUGAGUUACCAAUGGCAGUUCCAGAGGAUUUAUCAUUUACCCCAAAGCUACUGCAAAUCUAAGAGAAAACAAUGUUCUUGCUGCUAAAGUUUAAUGUACAAAAAGGUAAAAUCAUGACUGUCUUGCAAAUAAAACAUGAACAUGUAUCCAAGCUUUUAACUCACUGAUUAAUAA
rnacentral:lncRNA from 10 species